rnacentral:lncRNA from 1 species
AUAAACACAAGGAGUAGUCCUCAGGGCACUGUAAAAGGGUGGGAGGAGACAAAAGAGAAAGAGAUGAAAUAUCACACUGGAUCAGCUUUAAGGAGGAAACUUGGGACAAUGAUAGUUGAUGACAGAAUAUUAUGCAACAAGAUGAGUCACAAAUGCACUUUUUAUUAGUGUACCGAAAAGGAGCAGUGACAAAUGAGGCUGCAUGACAGCUUGGGUGACUCGUUCUGUCUCUCCUUGUUUCAUGCUUUCAUGCACCAGACCCUGUGCUAUAUGCAUGUGCUGUGUCAUUUUCUAAGCGUAAGUGAAAUAACACAUAGGUUGAUGUGAAGCAGAAGACAAUUCUAUGAUACUGCUGGUACCUAGCAAAGAUGAGAUAUUGCUCACUAUUUGGAAAUAUUUUCUGUAUUUUCUUAUCAUCUGCUUCUGACUGUGAUCUCUGUAUGAACACAAGCAGUUAAGUAAUUUGACUUCUCUGCUUUCAAUAGACUAUUUAUAAAGACACUCAUUAUCAUUCAUUAUCUACUUUUAAAUAUAAUUUUGAUAAUACAAGAAAACUUGCUUUAAUUAUUUCCUUUUCUAGGGAUUUUCUGCCCAGCUAAGAUCCAGAUGGAAUUUCACAUCAAAGAGACACUGAAGGAGACAAAGGAUGGAUGUUCUGCCCAUGCCUAUGUAAAAUAACAGUGAAUGUGAUAAAUAGGCUUGGGAAGCAGACACAGUAUUGCCAUGGUACAUUCUACAUGGAGGUUUGGAGGGCAGAGGACUCCUGCAGUGCCAUGCUCCAGCCACAUCCCUGCAGCUCAGAGAGCAGCCAAGGGCUGGCCCUGUUGUCUGGAGGGAAGAGCAGCACCAGCCAGGCAGAGCAAAGAGCCCAUAAGGAUGGGGAUUUGAGCUGAAUGGGCAUUCAGGUGCACGAUAUUUCCUGACUCUCUGCAUUAGUAUGUGCCUAAUCCCAUUGCCAAGUCAUGCCUUGCAUUAAUACAAGGAAAAGGAGCAAGCCUGUGCUCAAAUAUGGCCCUAUGGAUAACAUGGAUCCACCCAUGAUUAUGGGGAAUUUUCCAUCUUGUCCUCCUUCUGGGUUGUAUUUCUGACUGCCCAGUAGAUGGGUCUGAAGACAGUGGGUCCUCUGCACAAGAAGAACAGAAGAAGCAGCCUAACAUCUUGCCAUUCUAACAUCUUGUUAUUCAAAUAAAAAUCAAACCAGAAUUACA